rnacentral:rRNA from 1 species
UACGGGGGGGGCAAGCGUUGUUCGGAAUUACUGGGCGUAAAGGGCUCGUAGGCUGCCAACUAAGUCGGACGUGAAAUCCCUCGGCUUAACCGGGGAACUGCGUCUGAUACUGGAUGGCUUGAGUUUGGGAGAGGGAUGCGGAAUUCCUGGUGUAGCGGUGAAAUGCGCAGAUAUCAGGAGGAACACCGGUUGCGAAGGCAGCUCGCUGGGACGUCACUGACGCUGAGACGCGAAAGCGUGGGGAGCAAACAGG